rnacentral:rRNA from 1 species
GACGUAGGGUCCAAGCGUUGUCCGGAUUUACUGGGCGUAAAGAGCGCGUAGGCGGCUCGUUAAGUGUGAAGUGGAAUCUCCAGGGCUCAACCCGGAAACUGCUUUACAUACUGGCGAGCUGGAGUGAUGAAGAGGUUUGUGGAAUUCCUGGUGUAGCGGUGAAAUGCGUUGAUAUCAGGAGGAACACCCAUGGCGAAGGCAGCAAACUGGUCAUCAACUGACGCUGAGGCGCGAAAGCGUGGGUAGCAAACAGG